UUGUGGUUAACUUUUAACCGCUGCUUUGAAAUUGAAUUUUCCGUCGCAAUUCGCUAUUUUGAUUUGAAGGCGGUUUUCAUUUAUUUAUUAUCUAAUUAUAGUGCUUUAUUGUGUGUGAAUGUUUUUGUAAACAGUAUAUUAUAAAAGCAAUCAUUUAGUGUUUACCAGUUUAAACGUGUAAUUGUUUUUUUCGUAUAGUUUGAUUUAUUUGAUAAUAUAAUGGUUUAUAAGUGCUCUGUUCCCGGGUGCAGUACUCGAGGCCGAGGUAUUAAAUAUUAUAGUGUGCCGUUCACAAAUAAAAAAAGGUGGGAAGAGUGGUUAAGUUUAUGUCCAUUCCUACAAAAUUAUCCUCCUACUCAACGCGAAAACAUUCGUUUUUGUCAUAAACAUUUUAUUCCCGAACAUAUAAAACAGAAUCUAAGAUUAACACCUAAUGCGAUUCCUUUAGUAAACUUAGGAAAUACAGAUAAAUAUAAAGUUACAAACCGAGAUUUGAUAUUAGAAAUUGAACCCACUAGUAGCAUUACUGAACCCUUUAUUUUUAAAGUAGUUAACCCUUCUGAACUUAAUCGACCCACUAUAGAGCAAAAUUGUUCUAUCAUACAAGAACAUCAAAGUUCUGAGCUGUCUAGCACGGUAUCAAUUCAUGCUUCAUUGAAUGAAGCAAAUAGUAGUACUCCAACUCAAUUUACUCCCAAUAUACCUCACAAUACGCAAUACCCAAUAUGUAUAACCCCUUCCACAUCAACCACCAUUGCUGUGUGUAAUGAGCACAAAUUAAAAGUCACAGCCUAGUUAAACGUAGAUUAACUAAUCGUAUUAGAUUAAAUCCCAAUGAAUGUACCCCUCGUAAACGAAUUUUACGCUCUUCAAUUCACAUUUUAAAGAAUAAAUUACGUCUCUUGCAAUCAAGGUAUAAAAAGUUAAAGACUAGAUUUGACCUUCAUGCACCAAAAACAAAGGUGUUCUUGAAAAAUAUAACAUUUUGAGUACAUAUGGGAAAUUAUUAGUAGAUUCACAAUUACGUUUGACUGGUAAUUCAUUAAAAGGUCGCCGUUACACAGACUCAGAAAAAGUUUUUGCUUUAUCAUUAUAUAAGUUAAGCCCUAAGUGCUAUAGAUUUUUACGAAAACAUUUAGCAUUACCAUGUAAAUCCCGAAUUAAUUCUCUACUCAGCAAUAUUCCUUUGAGGCCUGGUAUUAAUGACUUUAUAUUUCAACAUUUGGCAGAUGCUGCCUUGGAUAAACCCGCAAUAGACAGGCAAUGCACAUUAAUGUUUGAUGAAAUGUCCAUUAAAAAACACUUAAAUUUUAAUUUCUUUACUGGGGUCAUUGAAGGUUUUGAAGAUAUAGGUUCUGGCAAACGCACAAACAAUGUGGCUGAUAAAGCUUUAGUUUUUAUGUUACGGGUUUGUUUUCUCCUUGGAAAAUUCCAAUUGCAUUUUAUUUUGCUCGAGAUGGGGUUAAAACAUUUGUUUUAAAAAAUAUUAUUAAAGAAAUAGUAUUAGCAGUUUUUAAAUCUGGAUUCAUAGUAAGAGCUACAAUCAGUGACCAAGGUUCUGCCAAUGUUGCUGCUAUUAAGUCAUUAAUAUCAGAUUCUAAUGCUGAACUCCUACGUAGUAACAAAUAUACCAAUGACAUCUGUUAUAAAAUCGGCCCAAACCAACUGUACCAUAUCUAUGAUGUACCUCAUUUAUUGAAAUGUUUUCGCAAUAAUUUUCAGAAAAAACCUACUCAUUGGCAACCAAAGGGCAAAGUGGGAGUAUAUUGAGAGACUUUAUAAAGUGGAUGGUUUUGGUGGCAGAGCAAGAAGCACCAAACUUACUGAGAAGCACAUAAAUCCAACUUCAUAUGACAAAAUGAAGGUCAAAUUUGCAGCCCAAGUUUUUAGCCGGCAAGUGGCUACAUCACUAGAAAUCCAGAUGAAGUCUCUGCUAUCUCCAGGAUCAUGAUUACAUAAGUUUAAAUGAAGACAUUGGAAAUGGUUUGUUCACAGCAGAAAUUCUUCUUUUUAUAAAUAAUUUGUUUGAUAGUUUAAAUGGUUUUGGUCAUUAUGGGAAUAAGUUAAAACAUGCUCUUUCAUAUAAUUCGGAGCACAUUGCAUUCUGGAAUGAUGCUGUGAAAAAGCUAGCUUCAAUGCGCUUUGACGCUUCCAAUGAAAGGGAAAGGAAGCCUUUAUCACUGAAGCAUUUUGAACAUAAUAUAAAAACAAUAAAACAUUUGUGGUCAGAUCUGCUGAGAAUUGAUGGUGUUAAAUUUUUAAGUCUUAGACGUCUUAAUCAAGAUCCGAUAGAAAACUUUUUUGGUCAAAUAAGGGCACAUGGUAAUUUUAGUACAAAUCCUAAUUGUACUCAUUUUGUAUCGGCUUUUAAAACCUUGUUGAUUAACAACAUUACUACCGGUAAAUCUUUAUACACUAAUUGUUCUGAUGAUGAUGACAAAAUGUUGGGAACAUUAAAACAUUUAGUCAGCCACCAAAAAUAUGGUUCAUACACUGAUAGUCUUCAAUGUAAUGAAACUAACUUUAUAGAAAUUUCUAUACCUAACGAGAAUAUAUUCCAACAUAAGUCUGUACCAUAUAUUGCUGGUGCAGUUUGUCGUUUUUUGAUGUCCAA